UACGUAGGCAGCAAGCGUUGUUCGGAGUUACUGGGCGUAAAGAGUGCGUAGGUGGUGCCCUAAGUCUGUUGUGAAAUCUCCCGGCUUAACUGGGAGGGUGCGGUGGAAACUGGGGUGCUUGAGUGUGGGAGAGGUAAGCGGAAUUCCUGGUGUAGCGGUGAAAUGCGUAGAUAUCAGGAGGAACACCGGUGGUGUAGACGGCUUACUGGACCACGACUGACACUGAGGCACGAAAGCGUGGGUAGCAACAGG
rnacentral:rRNA from 1 species